UACGUAGGCAGCGAGCGUUGUUCGGAAUUACUGGGCGUAAAGAGUGUGUAGGCGGUGUUCCCAGUCUGUUGUGAAAUCUCCCGGCUUAACUGGGAGGGUGCAGCGGAAACUAGAAUGCUAGAGGGUGGGAGAGGUAAGCGGAAUUCCUGGUGUAGCGGUGAAAUGCGCAGAUAUCAGGAGGAACACCUAUGGCGAAGGCAGCUCGCUGGGACGUGACUGACGCUGAGACGCGAAAGCGUGGGGAGCAAACAGG
rnacentral:rRNA from 1 species